GACGAACCGUGCGAACGUUGUUCGGAAUCACUGGGCUUAAAGGGCGCGUAGGCGGGAUGGCAAGUCGGUCGUGAAAUCCUUCGGCUCAACCGAAGAACGUCGAUCGAUACUGCUGUUCUUGAGGGUUGCAGAGGAGACUGGAAUUCCCGGUGUAGCGGUGAAAUGUGUAGAGAUCGGGAGGAACACCGGUGGCGAAGGCGGCUUCUUGGGCCGUUCCUGACGCUGAGGCGCGAAAGCUGGGGGAGCGAACGGG
rnacentral:rRNA from 1 species